CUUAAGUUAAAUUUGAAGGACUGUUUCAAAUCUUUAUAUACAAAGAACAAAUUUCUUCUUGCUGAGAAUAUGAUUAAUUAAAGUGUAUUAAUUGCUUUGAAAUUUGUGUUAAAAACAUGUGCUUCUUGAAUUCUAUAUAGUAAUCGCAUACUUGAUGUGUUGUGUGAGCAGCAAUUCACUAGACUGUCUCUUAGAUGUCAGAAACAGAUACAUCUUUUUAUUACUCAAAUUCAGGCAUCGGAACAAAGAGUUUCUGCAGCCCAUAUCUUUGAAGUCAAAAGAUCUGCAGUAGUUUCAAUUUUAACUUCUGCUGCCGCCUUCUGCACCGUAUUAAUCAGUCUUAUCCCGAAUCGACUGAACAAUUAAUUUCUCUCUGUAAAGUUUUAUAUAAUCUAAGUCCUAAACUAUGCUAUGUAUACUAUUUAGUAUUCAUUGUAUUCAUUUUCAACCAGUAUAUACGAAUAAUCUCUACUGUGUAUGUCUGAUAGGCAUUAACAAAGUCUAUACUUCUCUGCAGCCAGCUGUACUGUAAUGUAAUUUCAUGAUUGAAUUAACUAGAAUUUGUUUAACAAUUAUUUACAAUAUUUGGAGACAAUUUAAACAAUUUAAUUGUUUGUAAACCUAAGUUUUAUGCAAUUGGACAAGACUUCGCAUGUACAUUUGCUAAAUCAGUUGCUUUCUUGAAUAUUUUUGAUUAUAUUUUGUAACUGACAACUGUCCAAUUAUGUAUGGAUAAUGUAAUGACAAAAGAUAAAUACAUAUUUUACUAUUUCUAGUGUGA